GCGGGCAAGCAGAGCGGACUAAUUUUCUUAGAAAUCCCCAUCACCCACGAACCCUAAACCUACAAUGCGCUGAGGCCGGCAGCUGCUCGUGGAGGCGACGGCCCGACUGGUGAGGGCGGCGGCCAAUCGUGGCGGCGCCGCGGCAGCUGAGGGCGGCGGCCUAUCAUGGCUGCUGGGGCCGGCUGGAGAGGCUGGCUGCGAAGAUGGAGUUGUCUGGAUACUCUAGUAGGAGGAGUGCGACGAAAGGAGCAACCCUCGAAUUACGGUGCAUAUGUCAUAAGCCAGCAAUGGUGCGGACAUCGUACACCGAGAGAAACCUAGGGCGACGAUGGCUUCAGUGCUGGCAUGAUCCCCCCUCUUGCUAGAUAUGGAUUUGGGAAAAUCUUCUAGAUUGAUAUGUGGAGGAGAUGGUUGAGUAUUGCAAGAUUGCAGAGGAAGCAUUGCACCGGGUAAUUGCAGAGAAGAGGAAAAUAGAAGCUUCAAGGUUUGCUUGAUGGUAGUAAGGCUAAAAUGCAUGAACUGCAUGUGGAGAUUGCUAUGUUUUAGGAGGAGGUAGAGGAGCCGAAGAAAAAAUUGGAUGCAGAGAAAUAUAGAAAUUCUAGGAUGGUGUGGUUGGUCUGUGUAAUCGUGAUAAUUAUUGUUGCUCGGUUUUUAGUUUAGUUUAGUUCAGUUAUACAGUAGGCAUAUAUGUACCCUUCAAUUAUUUUGGAUGAUGAAUGGAUGGAUGGAUGGAUGGAAUAAGUUGUUGUAAUAUUUUGGUUGAUCAAUGAAAAAGUGUGGUCCGUCAGUGAAA